GAUGAAGAACGCAGCGAAAUGCGAUAAGUAAUGUGAAUUGCAGAAUUCAGUGAAUCAUCGAAUCUUUGAACGCACAUUGCGCCCGCUAGUAUUCUGGCGGGCAUGCCUGUCCGAGCGUCAUUUCAACCCUCAAGCCCCCGGGCUUGGUGUUGGGGAUCGGCGAGCCUCCGCGCCCGCCGUCCCCUAAAUCUAGUGGCGGUCUCGCUGUAGCUUCCUCUGCGUAGUAGCACACCUCGCACUGGGAAACAGCGCGGCCACGCCGUUAAACCCCCAACUUCUGAACGUUUGACCUCGGAUCAGGUAGGAAUACCCGCAGAACUUAAGCAUAUCAAUAAGCGGAGGA
rnacentral:misc_RNA from 1 species